rnacentral:rRNA from 1 species
UGGGGAAUAUUGCACAAUGGGCGCAAGCCUGAUGCAGCCAUGCCGCGUGUGUGAAGAAGGCCUUCGGGUUGUAAAGCACUUUCAGCGAGGAGGAAGGGUUCAGUGUUAAUAGCACUGUGCAUUGACGUUACUCGCAGAAGAAGCACCGGCUAACUCCGUGUCAGCAGCCGCGGUAAUACGGAGGGUGCAAGCGUUAAUCGGAAUUACUGGGCGUAAAGCGCACGCAGGCGGUUUGUUAAGUCAGAUGUGAAAUCCCCGCGCUUAACGUGGGAAC